rnacentral:rRNA from 1 species
UACGUAGGGUGCAAGCGUUAAUCGGAAUUACUGGGCGUAAAGCGUGCGCAGGCGGUUUUGUAAGUCUGUCGUGAAAGCCCCGGGCUCAACCUGGGAAUUGCGAUGGAGACUGCAAGGCUAGAAUCUGGCAGAGGGGGGUAGAAUUCCACGUGUAGCAGUGAAAUGCGUAGAGAUGUGGAGGAACACCGAUGGCGAAGGCAGCCCCCCUGGGUCAAGAUUGACGCUCAUGCACGAAAGCGUGGGGAGCAAACAGG